UUGGGUUGUCGAUCUUCCUUCCUUCCUUGAGGGAUUCCUUAUUCAUUCGAUACACUAUUGGUGAUUAAAUCCAUAGUCUUUAGAAAAAAAUCGGUAAGUUAUACAUUUGUAUCAAUUAAACAUUGAUUCUAGGAAAUUUAACUGAAUUACGGCUCUUUCUUCUUUUUCGUUUAACCGAUUACAUUUAGAUUUAACCAAAACUUUGUCAUUGAUUCUAACAUUAAGUAGUUUCAUGUGAAUGAUGUUAAACGGCCAGAUUUGGGAGAGGUGGAUCAAAUCUAAACUUGAGGAGUGUCGAAUGGACUAGUAGAGAAGGUGUGUAUCUUGAUUAGUGUUGUAAUGCGUGUGUGUCGGCAUUCAGCCGAAUGCAUAUGUGCUACCCUUGUGAUUUUUG
rnacentral:lncRNA from 1 species